GAUGAACGCUGGCGGCGUGCCUAAUACAUGCAAGUCGAGCGAACAGACGAGGAGCUUGCUCCUCUGACGUUAGCGGCGGACGGGUGAGUAACACGUGGGUAACCUACCUAUAAGACUGGGAUAACUCCGGGAAACCGGGGCUAAUACCGGAUAACACAUGAAACCGCAUGGUUUCAUGAUGAAAGACGGUUUUGCUGUCACUUAUAGAUGGACCCGCGGCGUAUUAGCUAGUUGGUAAGGUAACGGCUUACCAAGGCAACGAUACGUAGCCGACCUGAGAGGGUGAUCGGCCACACUGGAACUGAGACACGGUCCAGACUCCUACGGGAGGCAGCAGUAGGGAAUCUUCCGCAAUGGGCGAAAGCCUGACGGAGCAACGCCGCGUGAGUGAUGAAGGUCUUCGGAUCGUAAAACUCUGUUAUUAGGGAAGAACAAGGAUGUAAGUAACUAUGCAUCCCUUGACGGUACCUAAUCAGAAAGCCACGGCUAACUACGUGCCAGCAGCCGCGGUAAUACGUAGGUGGCAAGCGUUAUCCGGAAUUAUUGGGCGUAAAGCGCGCGUAGGCGGUUUUUUAAGUCUGAUGUGAAAGCCCACGGCUCAACCGUGGAGGGUCAUUGGAAACUGGAAAACUUGAGUGCAGAAGAGGAAAGUGGAAUUCCAUGUGUAGCGGUGAAAUGCGCAGAGAUAUGGAGGAACACCAGUGGCGAAGGCGACUUUCUGGUCUGCAACUGACGCUGAUGUGCGAAAGCGUGGGGAUCAAACAUG
rnacentral:rRNA from 1 species